GAUGAACGCUGGCGGCGUGCUUAACACAUGCAAGUCGAGCGAGAAGUUUUGAACAGAUUCUUCGGAUGAAAUUUAAAAUGGAAAGCGGCGGACGGGUGAGUAACGCGUAGGCAACCUGCCCCAUACAAAGGGAUAGCAUUUGGAAACGAAUAUUAAUACCUUAUGAAACUUAACUAGUGCAUGCUAGGUAGGUCAAAGAUUUAUCGGUAUGGGAUGGGCCUGCGUCUGAUUAGCUAGUUGGUGAGGUAACGGCUCACCAAGGCGACGAUCAGUAGCCGACCUGAGAGGGUGAACGGCCACAUUGGAACUGAGACACGGUCCAAACUCCUACGGGAGGCAGCAGUGGGGAAUAUUGCACAAUGGGGGAAACCCUGAUGCAGCAACGCCGCGUGAACGAUGAAGGCCUUUGGGUCGUAAAGUUCUGUUCUAGGUGAUGAAAACUGACAGUAACCGAGGAGAAAGCCCCGGCUAACUCCGUG
rnacentral:rRNA from 1 species